rnacentral:lncRNA from 1 species
GAACAUACAAAUGCUUUCAAUGCUUCCAAUUCAAUGCUUACAAAUGCUUUCAAUGCAGCAUCUUCUUCAGGUUUGCAGGGGCUCAGGGGAGCAGUCGAACAGAGUUCAGCUGUUGCAAUGGAACAAUUAAUCAAUAAAUAUGACCUUGUCUUAAAGAGAGACCAGUUAAGUCGUACGAAUGUGCAUUUCCUAGACUUGCAGAUUGAAUUGCAGAAUGGAAAUAUUAGAACAAAGGUUUAAAGAAACAACUUAUAAGCUGAUCUUAAUACCAAGAUGGUCGAAAGACCCUAUGAGCUACAAAAAAUCGGCAUUUAGAAGCCUAUUUAGGAGAGCGCUUAUAUACAGUAAUGAUGGCAGAGACCUGAAUGAUGAGCUUAACUAUAUACUGAAGGUAGGUAGACAGCAUGGGUAUAGCAAGCCUUUUUUAAACCACAUCUCGAAACAAGUUAAGGAGGGUAAGGUUCAAGAAAAAUGUGUAAAGAACAGAGAAGCUGAAGUCAGAUAUGCAGUAGUCCCAUACCACCUGAGAAACCUAAGGCCAGUUAGAAAACUGCUUAAGAAAAGUAA